rnacentral:lncRNA from 1 species
UGCCUGGCCUCCCUGCUGAUUACAAAGAGGCCCUGGUUCUAGACUGCCCACAGGAGAGCUGUCCUUUGUUUCAGUCCAUGAAAACUUUUAGAAGACAAGGCUAAAUCAGGUGGACAGGAUUGAGAUGCAGCUCUCCUGUGGGCAGUCUAGAAUGAGGACCUCUUUUUAAUCAACAAAGGGAGGCCAGACAUAGACACUGUUGCUGCAGCCACUGCAAAGGCAAAUUCCCAAGGGAGAGAGACAGCAGCCUUAAGGAAAACGGAAGCCAUUAUCAGUCCAGAAAGAUACGUGCAGCCUCAGAAAGGGGAGAACCUGUGGCCAAAACGAAUAGAAGAGAGCACGGUCUGUGAAUGAGGAAGUGGCAAUGCAAAAGAGGGUCGUGUGAAACUUCUCAGGUGAGUCAUGCUGAAGACACAGGGUGAGGUGGCAGACCCGGUCCCCUGGCAAAACCCAGCCAAUGCCGCAAAGCAACAAACGACAAAUCCUGGGCCGUCCUGAGAGGCUGCUCUGCACAGAUAAGGCUGUUCGUCAGCGCAGGCAUCCCUUUGCUUUCAGAUGAGGCCAAUUAACAUCGCUCAUUUAGGAGAAAACCUCUCCUCGGAAUUUAAUCCUUCAAUAGUGAGCUGGGAUAAAAACAAUUCAGCAGAGGUGAUUUAGAAGACACGAAAUGAGCAAAAAGCCGAGAUUUCUGAUGUGGCGCGUUGACUAGAAACAUUGCAAACGCGUUUUCUUUGGGCAGGCCUUCUUCUGUAUGCAAUGUUGUCAGAAGCCUGCAUUUCCA